GGCUCAGAACGAACGCGGGCGGCGUGCCUAACAGAUGCAAGUCUAGCGAGAAAGUCUCCGCACGGGGGCGAGUAAAGCGGCGCACGGGUGCGUAACACGUGGAUAACCUGCCUUGGAGUCCGGAACAACCUUCCGAAAGGAGGGCUAAUACCGGAUAAGACCACGGGGACCUUGGUUCCUGAGGUAAAAAGACGGCCUCUGUAUACAAGCUGUCACUUCUAGAGGGGUCCGCGGCCCAUCAGCUAGUUGGCGGGGUAACAGCCCACCAAGGCAACGACGGGUAGCUGGUCUGAGAGGACGAUCAGCCACACUGGAACUGAGACACGGUCCAGACUCCUACGGGAGGCAGCAGUGGGGAAUUUUGCGCAAUGGGCGAAAGCCUGACGCAGCAACGCCGCGUGAGUGAUGAAGGUCUUCGGAUCGUAAAGCUCUUUCGGCCGGGACGAAAACGUCGGAGCGAAUAGCUCCGGCCUUGACGGUACCGGAAGAAGAAGCACCGGCUAACUCUGUGCCAGCAGCCGCGGUAAUACAGAGGGUGCAAGCGUUGUUCGGAAUUAUUGGGCGUAAAGCGCGUGUAGGCGGCGACGCAUGUCGGGUGUGAAAGCCCUCGGUUUAACCGAGGAAGUGCGCCCGAAACUGCGUUGCUCGAGUGCUGGAGAGGGUAGCGGAAUUCCCGGUGUAGAGGUGAAAUUCGUAGAUAUCGGGAGGAACACCAGUGGUGAAGGCGGCUACCUGGACGGACACUGACGCUGAGACGCGAAAGCGUGGGGAGUAAACAGGAUUAGAUAUCCUGGUAGUCCACGCUGUAAACGAUGGGAACUAGGUGUGGCGGGUGUUGACCCCUGCCGUGCCGAAGCUAAUGCAUUAAGUUCCCCGCCU
rnacentral:rRNA from 1 species